rnacentral:lncRNA from 10 species
UUUUAAAGAGAAUGUGGUGGGAGUGCAGGAGCAGUGAGUUGGAGAGUGCUGAUUGGUUGGGUCGGAGGUGAAAUUACGGCGCGUCCCUGUCUUCCUGCGCUGAGUCAGUUCCUGGGUGUGAGUCACAAGAUCAGAUGGGCCGGUUUCUCGAUAUGGGUGGUGCCAGUUGAUCCAUCAAGAGUAGAGUCUGCAAAACAUCUCAGGCACUGAUCUUGGGAGCAGUUUAGGGAAGGUCAGAAUCUUGUGGCCUCCAACUACUUGACUCCUAAACCGUAAUUUCUAAUACUGUGGCUAACUUUAGUAGUCUAGUCUCCAGGCAAGAAGGGAGUUUGUUCUGGGAAAGGGCUGUUAUUGUCAUUUUUUAAAACUAUAAACUAAGUUCCUCCCAAAGUUUUUUCAGCCUGCGCCCAGAAAUGAACAAGGACAGCUUGGAGGUUAGAGGCAAGAUGGAGUCGUUUAAGUUGGACCUCUUUCACUGUCUCAGUCAUAAUUUUGCAAAGGCGGUUUCAGUUGCAGACAAAAGGAUCCGCAGGCUCCAGUGACUGUCUGCAUGGCGGGAGAAAACACAAGAAACUGGUUGGAGUAAAAAGAUUCCCCUUUUCAAGAUCGCCAAAAGUGGAACUGAUCGCUUUCGAAGGGACUCCUUCAGGAAGAAGGAGAAAAAUUCGAGAAACUUACCUGUUUCUCUCCCUGGAAUGCCUUCUGAACCCUGAGAUUUACUUUCCUCAAUAAAGAAGCUCGCCUCGCCCACCCAGCCCACUCUUCCUAGGAGCAGCGAGGAUCGCUGUCCCUCCAGCACAUACUAGUCAACUCGAGUCAUCUGAAUAUGGGCAUAUUGGGCACAUAUUUCUUUGUAAUGGUUCCUCUCCUAUUACAAUAUGUAUCUGUUGUUUCAUCGUUAGAUUGAAAGCUCUUUAAGAAUUAUGGUAACAGUGUUACAGCUCUUUCAGAAUUUGUUUAGCAGGUUUUCUGGUUUUCACAGGAAAAUAAAAUAAAAACAAUAAUUAUAAUAAUGGCUACCGUGUUUUGAAUGCUUGCUUUUAGGCUAUUAAGCACAG